rnacentral:rRNA from 1 species
GUAGGUGGCAAGCGUUGUCCGGAAUUAUUGGGCGUAAAGGGCGCGCAGGCGGCGUCGUAAGUCGGUCUUAAAAGUGCGGGGCUUAACCCCGUGAGGGGACCGAAACUGCGAUGCUAGAGUAUCGGAGAGGAAAGCGGAAUUCCUAGUGUAGCGGUGAAAUGCGUAGAUAUUAGGAGGAACACCAGUGGCGAAAGCGGCUUUCUGGACGACAACUGACGCUGAGGCGCGAAAGCCAGGGGAGCAAACGGGAUUAGAUACCCCGGUAGUCCUGGCCGUAAACGAUGGAUACUAGGUGUAGGAGGUAUCGACCCCUUCUGUGCCGGAGUUAACGCAAUAAGUAUCCCGCCUGGGGAGU